AAGAAAGCUGACAAGCAGGUCCUGGAGCCACUGAUGAGUCUUGAGGUCACAGUGACUGGAGAUUACCUCAGCCCUGUCCUGGCAGAUUUGGCACAAAGAAGAGGGAACGUUCAGGAAAUUCAGACUCGCCAGGACAACAAAGUUGUUAUAGGAUUUGUUCCUUUAGCAGAGAUGAUGGGAUAUUCAACUGUGCUUCGAAUACUGACAUCAGGCUCUGCUACUUUUGCUUUAGAAUUCUCUACUUAUCAAGCCAUGAGUCCUCAAGACCAAAGUACUCUGCUCAGCCAGAGAAGUGGGUUGGCCCAAGUGCUUUAGGACCUUGGGAACAUGGAUUAAUGCCUGGAAAAGCACGGGCUGCUUCAUUCUCAGUAAGAACGCUGUUUUUUUCAUUGGCUGGUAAAUUACUGCUUCCGUUUAUGGAAAGAACUUGACAAAAGAUGUAGAUAAUGGUAUUGGAGCUGCCAUUCUCACUCUGUGUGAAAUGUACUGUGCUGUAAAUGCCCCCCAACUGUGUGCCCUGGUUGGAUCCCUGACUUCUGUUACUUUGAUAAAAUAACCUGACCAAGAAUCUUA